CAGGAUUCAAUAGUUAACAGUUAGUGGAAAGUCUGGUUCGAGAGCUGAGUCUUGCUGUUCAUUCUAAACGUGACCAGAGAAAUUUGAAAUGUUGAAAACUCCCGCAGAAUGGAAAUUCCAUUUUCCAGCCACCUCUAGAUGAAAAAACGGUCAGCUGCUUUUGACCUCACUGGGCGCUGAGCAUCCACAACAGGCCAGUAGUGCUUUCCUAACUGAGAAAGUAGCAUGACUGCUGCCCUGAGCAGCUUGCAGUUUGAACACAGACAUGUGAACAG